rnacentral:lncRNA from 1 species
UAACAUCAUCAUCAUCUUGGAGAAGCAGAGGCCUCUUAGAACUGUUACGCAAUAUACUCUUGUUUUAAUUUCAUUUAUAAAUCCCAUGCAUGCAUGGAAAGACGUCUGCGAAAAUAUAUCCCUAUAUUUUGACAUUACGACUUUGCUUCAAACAAAGGUAACAAUAUAUUUAUUUAGAAUAUAUUUUAGAUUCCUGCCGAUUCGCCCUCUGACUUUGUUUCCACUCCAAAUCAAGUCUUUUAAAGUUGAACCGAAAACAAGGUUCGACCAUGAUGUAGCCGGAUUCAAUCUUAUUA